rnacentral:rRNA from 1 species
CAGCAGCCGCGGUAAUACGAAGGGUGCAAGCGUUAAUCGGAAUUACUGGGCGUAAAGCGUGCGUAGGCGGUUUGUUAAGUCUGCUGUGAAAUCCCCGGGCUCAACCUGGGAAUGGCAGUGGAUACUGGCAAGCUAGAGUGUGUCAGAGGAUGGUGGAAUUCCCGGUGUAGCGGUGAAAUGCGUAGAGAUCGGGAGGAACAUCAGUGGCGAAGGCGGCCAUCUGGGACAACACUGACGCUGAGGCACGAAAGCGUGGGGAGCAAACAGGAUUAGAUACCCCUGUAGUCCCUGUCUCUUAUAU